UUGCGCAUGCGCAAGCGUUAUUUCUGGUGCACAUCCGGGUUGGAGGAGGCCCGUGCACAUGCGCACAAGCUAUUUCUGGUGCUCCUCCAACCCGGAAGUGUGCCAGAAAUAGCGUGUGCACACGUGUA